rnacentral:rRNA from 1 species
AUUGAACGCUGGCGGAAUGCUUUACACAUGCAAGUCGAACGGCAGCACGGACUUCGGUCUGGUGGCGAGUGGCGAACGGGUGAGUAAUGUAUCGGAACGUGCCCAGUCGUGGGGGAUAACGUAGUGAAAAUUACGCUAAUACCGCAUACGAUCUAUGGAUAAAAGCGGGGGAUCGCAAGACCUCGCGCGAUUGGAGCGGCCGAUAUCAGAUUAGGUAGUUGGUGGGGUAAAGGCCCACCAAGCCAACGACCUGUAGCUGGUCUGAGAGGACGACCAGCCACACUGGAACUGAGACACGGUCCAGACUCCUACGGGAGGCAGCAGUGGGGAAUUUUGGACAAUGGGCGAAAGCCUGAUCCAGCCAUUCCGCGUGCAGGAUGAAGGCCCUCGGGUUGUAAACUGCUUUUGUACAGAACGAAAAGGUUUCUACUAAUACUAGGAGCUCAUGACGGUACUGUAAGAAUAAGCACCGGCUAACUACGUGCCAGCAGCCGCAGUAA